rnacentral:rRNA from 1 species
UACGUAGGCAGCAAGCGUUGUUCGGAUUUACUGGGCGUAAAGGGUGUGUAGGCGGUUGCUUAAGUUUGGUGUGAAAUCUCCCGGCUCAACCGGGAGGGUGCGCCGAAUACUGAGUGACUAGAGUGCGGGAGAGGAAAGUGGAAUUCCUGGUGUAGCGGUGAAAUGCGUAGAUAUCAGGAGGAACACCGGUGGUGUAGACGGCUUUCUGGACCGUAACUGACGCUGAGACACGAAAGCGUGGGUAGCAAACAGG